rnacentral:rRNA from 1 species
UACGAAGGGGGCUAGCGUUGUUCGGAAUCACUGGGCGUAAAGGGCGCGUAGGCGGUGUGUCAAGUCAGGCGUGAAAGCCCCGGGCUCAACCUGGGAACCGCGCUUGAGACUGGCACGCUCGAGUUCGGGAGAGGAUGGUGGAAUUCCCAGUGUAGAGGUGAAAUUCGUAGAUAUUGGGAAGAACACCUGAGGCGAAGGCGGGUUGCUGGGCCGACACUGACGCUGAGGCGACGAAAGCCAGGGGAGCAAACGGG